GAUGAACGCUGGCGGCGGGCCUAACACAUGCAAGUCGAGCGGAUAGACGGCGCUCGUUCCUCUCUUCUGCCGACGACGGGCGUGUAACGCCUAGGAAUCUGCCUUGCCUUGGGGGAUAACGUCCGGAACUGGGGCCUAAUACGGCAUGGGACCUGAGGUGGAAGGUGGGGGUUCUUCAGCCUCCACGGUAUCGGAUGAACCUAGGUCGGAUUAGCUAGUUGGUGGGGUAAAGGCCUACCAAGGCGACGAUCCGUAGCUGGUCUGGGAGGCUGACCAGACACACUGGAACUGAGACACGGUCCAGGCUCCUACGGGAGGCAGCAGUGGGGAAUAUUGGGCAAUGGGCGAAAGCCUGAUCCAGCCAUGCAGCGUGUGUGAAGAAGGUCUUCGGAUUGUAAAACGCUUUUAGUUGGGAGGAACGGCAGUAGAAGAAUACAUGCCUGUUUUGACGGUACCUACAGAAAAAGCACCGGCUAACUACGUG
rnacentral:rRNA from 1 species